rnacentral:lncRNA from 1 species
GUAACACAGGAGAUCAAAGGGCAGAUAGAGAUGGGAAACAUCAGGCAAUAAUUAAGCAUCACUCUGAGAGCCUGGCUGGCUCCCCUCCUUUCCCCUCCCCACGCCAGCCCCUGCUUAUUCCGAAGCCCCUUCUUUCAUCUUUUCCUCAGGCUUCUCCACUCUCCCCAUCUCUACUCAUCCCCUCUCCUCCUUCCCACCUUUUCACCUCUUGGUUCACUGGCCUUUCACAUUUCAUCCCCUCCUGCAACAACCACAAUUACCCACCUAGCUCCUGCUGUCUCCCCCAAUCAAAGACUUCCACAUCCUCCCGGAAACUCCCUCCCCUCCACCUCUCUCUCCCUUCCUCUCUUCCUCCCUCCCUUUGCUUUCUGCCAUCUUCCCCUUUCACCUCCUUUCCCCCCUUUCUGCUCCUCCCUCUCUCUCUCAUUCCCUAGUCUUUUGCACCCUUUCUCUCUGCCUGCUAGUGGAGUCACCAUGACAACGGCCUCCAUGACAAUUACAGCCCAGGCAGCAGUGCCUCUUCCCAUGAGGCACUCCAAUACUCACUUGGAAUUUGCUCCCUGAUUUCAUGGCCCAGGCAGUGAAUUUGCCUCACUCCCCAAGUUUCCACAAGGCCACAGGGAAUAGACUUGGUAGCCAACCACAGCCCCGAAGAUGGGAGAAAGCAAAGAAGGAAGAAUGAAGCAUGGGAGAGAAUGAAAGAGGAGAGGGGGAACUGAAGCUCUCAUCUUCCUCUUCUCUGAUGGAACACAAAGGACUCCAGCAAAAACAUCUGCUAAGCACCUAAUAUAUACCAAGCUUCAAUCCUGGCUUUGGAUACACAUGGAUGGUUAAUGACUUUGGGAUCUCUUAAUUUAGGAGAACUAUUAUCUGGACUUCAUGAACAAAAUCACAGUACUUAAAAGUCACGAAUUAAUUAUCUUCAUCUCUGAUGCCCAGAUGGACAUUACAACUCUGAGUUAUGGGUGUGUCAUUAGAAGUGAUUCUUGGAGCAGCCUGAUCCCCAAAUUACAGAAGCAAGAUGAAACUUGGACUCAUAGAACCAGGUGAUCUCCCAGCCACAUCUAUCUCUAGCAAAACAAGAACCUUAAAUAAAAACCAGGCUGAACUGUGGUAUCUUCUGCAUCUAUCUCCUCAUCCUGUGGUCUCUAUUUUACUGAAGAGGAAGAAAUAGCAAGAGGUGUGCCUUCACCCCAGCUAGAACCUCAGGGCCAUGUGGCCAUGAAAGCCAACAGUUUCACUGCUGGAGAGACAGCAUGCCAACAGACAAACUCACAGGAGAGCACGGCUAUACAGGAAGCAUGGAAGCAUAGCAGCUGCUUCUUCUGGGAAGGCCUCAGGAAGCUUUCAAUCACGACAGAAGGCAAAGGUGGAGCCAACACUUCACAUGUCCAGAGCAGGAGGAAGACAGAGAGCCGGGAGGUGCCAUUUUAAACAACCAGAUCUCAGAAGAACUUACUGUCACCACAAAAUCACCAAGGGGGAUGGUGUUAAACCAUGAGAAAACCACCUACACGGCCCAAUCACCUCCAACCAGCACUGGGGAUGACAAUUUAACAGGAGAUUUGGGCAGGGACACAGACCCAAACCAUAUCAGUGUAUGUACAUUUUCGUUUAUUUACUUAAAAAAAAACCUAUUAGAAUCAUUCACUGUCACUGUACCUGGGAGAAAUACCAAAACAACUUUACUAAAACUUACUAAGAUACUAUUAUUGUGCCCAUUAAUUGUUUUCCAGGGAGAUGCACAUUUUUUAGCACAAAAUGCCCAGAUAGAAUUGGUAAAACUGAAAAUAUUAAUUUUAAUACGUCUUUAACAAUGUAAUGUUUUACCAAAAACUUCUCUUAUCUCAUCCUAUUCUUUAAAUAUAAACUUAGCUCACUUGCAAAUGGGGCCAUGUCUGCCAUAUAACCUAGUUAGUAACAUCAGUCACGACUAUCAAAUUAUCAGCCCAAUCAGAGUCACUUUAUGUCAUAAAAUGUCUGACUUCAUUUUUGAAUUUAAGUAAAUGGACUAAUAGACGUUUCAGAAAUAUUGUUAAAAAUUACUCAACCAUAUAUCGUGGAACUUGUGUUUUUUAAGGUAGCAUACUAAAAGCAGUCAAAUCAAGAUUAUGCUGAUACAAAGCGAAUAUAGUCUAUUCAUAUAAUUUAUAAAAACAACAAACACUUAUGCUGCUUCUCACUACUUAAUUUGAAGUAAUGCAGUGUAAUCUGCAGCAAAUAUGUGUUAUUUAUGGACCAAGAAGUAUAAAACUCUCGUUAGUCCUUUGGUAAAUAUGGGUGCAUGUAUGAAUUGAAUCUGUCUCUCAGCUUUUGAAAAUCAUUAAAUCACAAUUAUGAAUAAAAUUUCAGAAAUAAUGCCAUUAAUUUUGUGUGACAUUAUGACCAAGAUUUUCUCAUCUAUUUAGUUAAAGAGAAAGGUACACACUGGUAAAAAGAAAUUGUUGUUACAGCUAGAGUAUCAUUUUAUUCUUCAUUAAUCAGAUCUGGAAAAUACUAAGCAUUUUGUAAGAAGAAAUAAGCUGAGGACUGACAUAAAUAGUUCAUGAUACCAUUUUAUAAAAUAGGUGUUAACUUAUUGAAUAACGAACACUGAAUUUAAAAGAAAUCAGCUAAAGCUUUGUUCACAUACAUUUUAACAUUUACUUGUCCUCAGAAACAUUCCCAUUACAUUGAAUAGAAUCUGUGUCCCUAACCUGUACACUUUCAGCUGUUUCAAGGUGCUUUUCUUUCCGGAUAAUGCUGCUUCCCAGGAAUGAGUAUUGAGAAUAGCUGAACAUAAUUGCUUGUGAUUAAAUUUGUGUAACAAGGUCAUUUUUAGCAUCC